UCUCCCUUUGACUUUUCUGCUCCAAACAAGCAGUAAUUCUUCUGUGGUUUCUGAUUGGCUGUAAAGAGGGGAGUAGCUAGUAGCACAAAACUCUUUUGAGACAGCAUCAAGCCUGAUGUGUGGGAAUGGUCAAGUGGACUGACGCCUGAUUAAUGAGCACAAACCCUGAGUGCUCUGCUUUCUUCACAUGAUAAUCAUUUUCAAUGGCAGAUGGGGUAUCUCAUCCUCACCACCCUCUGUAUGUAUCUGACUAUGGAAAGGAAAAGUGAGACUCCAGACUGCCUGAUGUAGUCUAAUCCAGAAGUCUACAGGCUGCUCCAGCAUUGCAGCGAACAGAUGGGUGACAGAACAACCUUCCAGGCAAACAGCAAUGCUUCCUCAUGUGGUAGAAUAACAGAGAGUUGCUGAUUAAGAUGGGUUAUGCUGAGAAGUGAUAGCAGACAACCAGUGUUACUGCAGCAGGAAACUCUGCCUGCUUCCUCCCUGGAGUGCCAGAAACAGUGAAAACAAAACGAUUGAUUUGUGUAUGGAUUAGAUGAUCAACACUUAAGUGGGGCUCAUUUUACACUCAAACACAAUGUAUGUCUUCUCUUUUGAUAUGUCAUCUUUUGUUUAGGUGCUAGACAGAAACAUUUUCCAAGAAUGCAUUGUGAUAAAGAGGGAAAAUAUAAUUUUUACAUUUUCUGAAGAAAACUCGCCACGACAAUGCUAGUCUGCUGAAUGGUUGCCAGGGCGUUGAGAAGCUGUUGCUAGGGUGUUCUGGCCAAUAAUUGCUUAUUGGUGCAAUUCAAUAGCCCAGCCCCAAGUCUGUAUAAUAUUCUGGUCCCUAGAAAUGGCUGGAGUGCCUCCUUUAACCCUUAAACUGAUGGUUGUUUCUCCAAACAUUUUUACAUAUCUUGGGUCUUUAGCGAACUGGCACAGACAUCUCAAAAAUGGAGAAUGCUCGGGUAGUGUAAAAUUUUCAAAGCAUUUUCAAGACAAUUAGAAUAGAAUAGACCAGUUAUAGAAUAGACUAUUUUCUGUUAUAUUCGGAUGUUUCAUAUAUGAAAGAGAUGAUGCAAAAAUGAUAUAUUGGAGACAUUACUUUUACUCUGAAAUGUUAUGAAACGCAACAUAACACAUAUAUUACAUAUGUAUUUUCUCAGGCACUUAUUGAGUCUAAAUAAAUGAACAGAAUUUCAGCAGU